GGACAGGUGGCUGCGUCAGCGUGGGCGGGAAUGCUGACCCAGCCAGGCCAGGCCGGCGAAGGGGCCUGGCGUCGGGUGGGCAGCGGCUGCACUGCUACCUGGCCAGCCAAAGGCAUGGUGGUGGGGCGUGGGCAGGAUGGAGCCCCAAAGGUGGAGAGGCAUCGGAGGACCUGGGUUCAAAUCUCCUCUCUACCACUUACCUGCCGAGUGACCGUGUGCAAGCCGCGGGCCUCCGUUUCCUCAUUUGUCAACACAGGGUCAACAUCCGGGCUGAGCCCAUGGCACGUGUUAGGAUGCAGCCCCGCACCCACCCAGCACAUCCCCCCAUUUUAAUCUUUUACAGCUUUUACCCAAACCUGAAAUUAUAGCAUUUAUUUUUCUGUGUGUA